rnacentral:rRNA from 1 species
UACGAAGGGUGCAAGCGUUAAUCGGAAUUACUGGGCGUAAAGCGUGCGUAGGCGGUGAUUUAAGUCUGCUGUGAAAUCCCCGGGCUCAACCUGGGAAUGGCAGUGGAUACUGGAUCGCUAGAGUGUGAUAGAGGAUGGUGGAAUUCCCGGUGUAGCGGUGAAAUGCGUAGAGAUCGGGAGGAACAUCAGUGGCGGAAGGCGGCCAUCUGGAUCAACACUGACGCUGAGGCACGAAAGCGUGGGGAGCAAACAGG